rnacentral:misc_RNA from 1 species
CUAUACACAAGCGCCUUACAGCCUGGCAAACACUCUAUUCACACUUGCUUACCCAAUCAAACUCCUCCACUUGGCCUUUCAUUGAUGUUGACACAAUUCCCUCACCAGCUGUUUGCCUUUACUCUUCCCUUCCUCCCCGUAUAAAUAGUUCAGUACCACGCCUAUUCAUCAUCCAGCUCUCCAUAUCUCUCUCUUCCUUUUUCUUUUACUACCCUUAACCAUGGCUUCCAUUUACCACUUGGCCAUUCUUCUUUUUAGCUUUGUUCAACCUUUGGUUGCUGUUUUAGUUCAAGAACAGCCUCUGGUUCUCAAGUACCAUAACGGUGUUCUCUUGAAGGGAAACGUCACCGUUAAUCUAAUCUGGUACGGCAAAUUCACCCCUAUUCAACGCUCUAUAAUCGUUGAUUUUAUUACUUCUUUGAGCUCCAACAGAGCACCACUUCCCUCCGCCGCUUCCUGGUGGAAGACCACAGAGAAGUACCGUGGCGGUUCUUGCUCUCUCAAAGUUGGCCGUCAAAUCCUCCACGAGGAGUACACUCUUGGAAAACUCCUCAAGACUAGGCAUUUACUUGCUUUGGCCUCCAAAUCGAACUUCGCAAUCGACUCUAUCAAUGUCGUUUUGACAGCUCAAGACGUCGUCGUUGAUGGAUUUUGCAUGAGCAGGUGCGGGACACACGGGUCGUCUCGCGGAUCGGUUCGGGGCACAUACAUAUGGGUCGGCAACUCGGAGACUCAGUGUCCAGGCCAAUGCGCCUGGCCAUUCCACCAGCCUAUUUACGGUCCACAGACACCACCGUUGGUGGCACCUAACGGAGACGUUGGAGUUGACGGUAUGAUCAUAAACUUGGCUACUCUCUUGGCGAACACCGUCACCAAUCCUUUUAAUAGCGGUUACUUCCAAGGUCCGCCCACUGCUCCUCUGGAGGCCGUAUCCGCUUGCACUGGGAUAUUCGGAUCGGGUUCAUACCCGGGUUAUCCGGGUCGGGUGAUGGUGGAUAAGGCCACUGGGGCAAGCUAUAACGCCCACGGUUUCAAUGGCCGCAAGUACCUGUUCCCGGCCAUGUGGGAUCCGCAAACAAGCGCAUGCAAAACACUUGUGUGAUGAGGGCACGUGGCAUAUGAUCAACGUGGCGGCAAUCUGUGCAGUGUAAUGUAAAUACAGGGGAAGGUCUGACGGUGGGAGGUUGUGGCCGGACGGGAUAAAUGAUGAUGACGAUGACGACGACGACUAUAUUAGAGUUUUUUUUAUGUCGUUUUGCGUGACGUGUAAAUUAAAUUUUGAAAAAAUGUGAAAAGUGAGUAAAAAAAAUUAAUAAAAAUAAUAAAAAUGAAAAUAGUGUUAAAAUGCUGGGAAUGAGAUUGGCGUUUUGGUCUUUUUCAUGUGUUGAGUAGGGGAUUUGGUUGGAUGGUGCUGGAGGCUUGGAGACCAUAAGCGUAAUGAUGAGGUGCGUCUCAUCAGCAUGAGCAGGUGGUGGGGAGCUUGUGGUGCACAAGCAAUCAUGUUUUGAGGAUAAGAACAAAACCAACCAUUUCAUUUAAUAAAUCUU